UCCUAGACCAAAACAAGCUAUGAAUGCCGCAACAGAUGCUGCGAACUAAAAGGUGAACUGCCAGAAAAAAUACGAUUACAGGAUUGGCUGAUUGACCAAGAACAAAAAUGAAACCUCGUCAUCCUGGGUUCGGACUUAGUUAUCUAUUUGGAUAACUGGGCACAAUUUAUGUUAUGUGUUGCAUGUUUGUGUUUUGUGCAUUUGUAAUGUUCCAUUUUAUUUUGCGUAUCUAAGUUCCCAGACGUGGGGCCCGAUACGGAAAAUAAAAUGUGCAUUUGUAAGGUUCCAAUGUUUUCGUUACAUUGGCGCCCAACGCGGGGCAUUGUGCAUUAUAAGGUUCCAAUGCAUUUUCCGUUACAUUGGCGCCCAACGUGGGGCCUUGCGCAUUUAUAAGGUUCCAAUGUUUUCGUUACAUUGGCGCCCAACUAAAAAACCCACGUUUAUGUUAUAGUUUAUUGUUUCUUUGUUGAUCCAUCUGGUUUCGGUUAGGUAAACUUAGAGUAGAUCAGAUAUGAGCGUCCGCAACAGUAAAGAUAGAUGAAGAUUAAAUGCUUGGUUGAUGGCAGUUCUUUGGCCGUUGGUUAAUGGCGUUAGAUUAUAUCCUUUGCCAGAAUUCGCUGGCGUUAUUAGUUUUAAGUUAGCCUGGUGGCAAUUAGUUUUAAGUUAGCCUGGUGGCAAUUAGUUUAAGGUUAGCCUGGU